UUUGGAUUAGGAUUUGGAUAGGAUUUGAUUUAGGAUUUAGGAUUUGGUUUAGGAUUUGGAUUAGAGUUUGGUUAGGAUUUGGAUUAGAGUUUGGUUAGGAUUUGAUUUAGGGUUUAGGAUUUGAUUUAGAAUUUGGUUGGAGUUUGGUUUAAGGUUUGUUUAAGAUUUGUAUAGGAUUUGAUUUAGGAUUUAGGAUUUUAUUAGGAUUUAAGAUUCAAUUAGUUUUGGCCUAAAGUAUAAAUGAAGUUCAAUAGGAUUUUAACUAGAAUUAAAUUAAGAUUGAAUUGAGAUGCAUUUGAGUGAUAUUUGUGAUCCUUUUAAUAUUUCUUUAAGAAUUCUUAUUGUUUGUUUGAAAUUUCUUUGAGGUUUUUUUGAAUUUGAUUAAGCUUGCUUACCAUUAUUAUGGUCUAAUUAGAGCAUUGUUAGUAUUCUAUUAGAAUUAAGAUUUUAUUAUUGCAAUUUCCAUUCUUCCUUCCACAGCUAGGUGCUUAGAGCAUUCUCAAGCAAGACUUCACUUAUUACGACAAUCCUAUCCGACGGAGGAGUAACGUGUUGGAUUAGUUGGAACUUUGCUCACGAGGCAAGCUCUAUCAUGGUUUACUUAUUUAUUUGAGAAAAUAUCGUUGUAGAAUAGAUAUUAGUUCAUUUUUAUAAGAUAUUGGUAAAAUAGAUUAAUAGUCCAUAGAAU
rnacentral:lncRNA from 1 species